rnacentral:lncRNA from 1 species
GCUGUAGUGAAGGUAUUUGAUGCACACGAGAGUGUAGGCGAGGGUUAGAAAAGGGGACGAAAGGCGCCGGGGCCGGUUCCGGUGCCCGCCGCCGCCGAGUGAGGAAUGGAGGAGGGCGAGUGAUCGGUAAGUGGUGGGAUGGAGCGGAGCCGGGAGGGCCCCGUGCCCACCUCGCGUCUCGAACACGCGUGGAGCGACCGCCCCGGCUCUGCCGAGCCUCCCCUCGGGGGUGCGGAGCGGAAGGGAACGGGGCCGGGCACUGGCGAGGCCGAACCGAGCCGCUGCGGUUCCCCCUAGCCCUGCGCGGCGGCUCCGGGCCCGCGGGCGGCGGAGGAACGGGGGAGGCUGAGCCCUGGCCCUGCCGGUGCCCGGUGCGGCCCUUCCAGAACCGAAACCGCUCCCGGAGCCGCGGGGACACUCCGUGGUUCCCGUUCGUUCCCUCGGCGAAGCUUUUGGGGCCGCAGUCGUUGUGGGGUUUUUUGCCAUUUCGGGAAGGAGCUUUUCAGAGCGAAGGACCGAGGAGGCACCAGCACCGCGCGGCGCCGGGGCCUCCGCCGCGGCUGUUCA